GGAUCCAGACUUUGAUCCUGGCUCAGGAUGAACGCUGGCGGCGUGCCUAACACAUGCAAGUCGAACGAUGAAACCGCCCCCGGGCGGACAUGAAGUGGCGAACGGGUGAGUAACACGUGACCGACCUGCCCCCCGCCCAGGGACAGCCCCCCGAAAGGGGGAUUAAUACCUGGUACUCCGGGAGCGGCGCAUGCCGCCCCCGGGAAAGCUCUGGCGGCGGGGGAUGGGGUCGCGGCCCAUCAGGUAGACGGCGGGGCAGAGGCCCACCGUGCCGACGACGGGUAGCCGGGUUGAGAGACCGACCGGCCACAUUGGGACUGAGAUACGGCCCAGACUCCUACGGGAGGCAGCAGUGGGGAAUUUUGCGCAAUGGGGGCAACCCUGACGCAGCAACGCCGCGUGCGGGACGAAGGCGUCCGCGUCGUAAACCGCUUUCAGCGGGGAACACCUAACGAGGGUACCCGCAGAAGAAGCCCCGGCUAAAUACGUGCCAGCAGCCGCGGUAAUACGUAUGGGGCGAGCGUUAUCCGGAUUCAUUGGGCGUAAAGCGCGCGUAGGCGGAGCGCUAAGCGGGACCUCUAACCCGAGGGCUCAACCCCCGGCCGGGUCCCGAACUGGCGCUCUCGAGUGCGGUAGGGGAGAGCGGAAUUCCCGGUGUAGCGGUGGAAUGCGCAGAUAUCGGGAAGAACACCGACGGCGAAGGCAGCUCUCUGGGCCGAAACUGACGCUGAGGCGCGAAAGCUGGGGGAGCGAACAGGAUUAGAUACCCUGGUAGUCCCAGCCGUAAACGAUGGGCGCUAGGUGUGGGGGAGCAGAUCCCCCGUGCCGCAGCCAACGCAUUAAGCGCCCCGCCUGGGGAGUACGGCCGCAAGGCUACAACUCAAAGGAAUUGACGG
rnacentral:rRNA from 1 species